UACAGAGGUCCCAAGCGUUGUUCGGAUUCAUUGGGCGUAAAGGGUGCGUAGGCGGCGCGGUAAGUCGGGUGUGAAAUCUCGGAGCUUAACUCCGAAACUGCAUUCGAUACUGCCGUGCUUGAGGACUGGAGAGGAGACUGGAAUUUACGGUGUAGCGGUGAAAUGCGUAGAUAUCGUAAGGAACGCCAGUGGCGAAAGCGAAUCUCUGGGCAGCAACUGACGCUGAGGCACGAAGGCCAGGGGAGCAAACGGG
rnacentral:rRNA from 1 species